rnacentral:lncRNA from 1 species
CAGCUGACUGUGCCAUUGCAGCUGGCCUUCCAUGCAAAUAGAAAUUUAAAAAUGAACAAGAAUAGCCAUACUCAUAUCAGCCAAAAUAUAAUUUGAGAAAAAACUGUUAAAAGAGACAAAAAUCAUUCUUACAAUGAUUAAAGGAUCAAUUAAACAAGAAGAUUGAGACUAUAGUAAAUGUAUAUACAACCAAUACUAGGGCACCCAGUUUUUUGUUUUUUGUUUUUUGUGGUGUUUUUUUGUUUUUUGUUUUUUGUUUUUUGUUUUUUUUUUUUUUUUUAACGAUAAAUGCUUUUUACUGCUUAGCCUCUGCAUAGGGAGACACAGUGCACACAAUACUACGUGGUGCUUCUCUUCAAUUGAUGCAACUCAGUAAUUUUUAUUGCAACUGGAAGACAAUACAUCACAGAAACUUUAUGGUAGGUCUGGGGGAAAGUGUUAUUUACAAUAAAUGAUGAAAUAGUUUGUCUUUGGCAAUAUGAUUACACAUGAAGAAUGCAAGAUGCAAGUAUGGAUGCCUCCGAAGCAGCGCCACCAAGUCCCUAGGUUCAGCUGAUGGCGUCUGUCUCCACACUGCUUCUUUAGGUUAACACAAACACAAAUGAACGUCACGUUCUUUCUCCUUUAUGGUUCUCCCUUUCUAUUCAUGAUAUUGGCAGUUUCAUACAGAAAAAAAAAUUGGCUUUUGAAAAAUUAUUACUCCUGUAAAUUAAUUUGGCCAUAUAGGUCUAUUGGCCAGGAAACGUCAGAUGACCCUGACGGUAAAACAAAAACAAAACUCAAGAAAUGUUACAGAAUCAGAGUAUAAAAAAUGUACAAGUGUAUAUGCUUCCCAGACACACAGAGACUGUUCUUCCUCCACAUGUUCACCAUGGCAGUGUAAGUAGUGAGUGUGAUGACACAGCAUGAAACUGGUUACUGCAUCAGCCAUGAGCUCAGAUGGUCUCAACGACACAUACUCCAGAAAUGCUGAAUGCUAAAUCACUGAAAGGGUGCUAAGGUUCAUCUAACGAGAGGCGGAAGGGGCUGGGGAGCUCAGGCCACAGUCAUGAGAGGAUGGAAUAGGGCUUCUAGGUUUGAUAGGUUCGCCAUAUCGAAGUCUUUGAGAAUCCAAUAUGGAGUAUCAAUUAUCUGCAAAAGGUGGAGAUGGCUGUUCCCCGCUUUUGCAAAUGAAAUACAGUGGAACCACACUGUUGUAUAGAUCCCAAAUAAAUAGAUUUCAAUGCUAACA